rnacentral:lncRNA from 1 species
CAGGCCUGGGCCUACCUCUUUAUCCCUAGACACAUUUGGGAAUCCAAGGCUCAGUCAUGGCGGAUGCAGAGAUGGCUGCAUUUGGGGCCGCAGCCCCCUUCCUGCGAAAAUCUGAGAAGGAGCGGCUGGAGGCGCAGACCAGGCCCUUUGACCUCAAGAAAGAUGUUUUUGUGCCUGAUGACAAAGAAGAGUUUGUCAAGGCCAAGAUCGUGUCUCGAGAGGGUGGCAAAGUCACCGCUGAGACAGAGAAUGGCAAGACGGUGACUGUGAAGGAGGACCAGGUGAUGCAGCAGAACCCUCCCAAGUUCGACAAGAUCGAGGACAUGGCCAUGCUGACCUUCCUGCACGAGCCGGCUGUGCUCUACAAUCUCAAGGAGCGCUACGCUUCCUGGAUGAUCUACACCUACUCAGGCCUCUUCUGUGUCACCGUCAACCCCUAUAAGUGGCUGCCAGUGUACAAUGCGGAAGUGGUAGCUGCCUACCGGGGCAAGAAGAGGAGCGAGGCUCCACCCCACAUCUUCUCCAUCUCUGACAACGCCUAUCAGUACAUGCUGACAGAUCGGGAGAACCAGUCCAUCCUCAUCACCGGAGAAUCCGGAGCUGGUAAGACUGUCAACACCAAGAGGGUCAUCCAAUAUUUUGCUGUUAUUGCUGCCAUUGGGGACCGCAGCAAGAAGGACCAGACCCCAGGCAAGGGCACCUUGGAAGAUCAAAUCAUCCAAGCCAACCCCGCUCUGGAGGCCUUUGGCAAUGCCAAGACAGUUCGGAAUGAUAACUCCUCCCGAUUUGGGAAAUUCAUUCGAAUCCAUUUUGGAGCAACAGGAAAGUUGGCAUCUGCAGAUAUAGAGACCUACCUUCUGGAAAAAUCCAGGGUUAUUUUCCAGCUGAAAGCAGAAAGAGAUUAUCACAUUUUCUACCAAAUCCUGUCUAAUAAAAAGCCUGAGCUUCUAGACAUGCUGCUGAUCACCAACAACCCCUACGAUUAUGCGUUCAUCUCCCAGGGAGAGACGACUGUGGCCUCAAUAGAUGACUCUGAAGAGCUCAUGGCCACCGAUAGCGCCUUUGAUGUGCUGGGCUUCACUCCAGAAGAGAAGAACUCCAUUUACAAGCUGACAGGCGCCAUCAUGCACUUUGGAAACAUGAAGUUCAAACAGAAGCAGAGGGAGGAGCAGGCAGAGCCAGACGGCACGGAAGAAGCUGACAAGUCAGCCUACCUCAUGGGACUGAACUCGGCUGACCUGCUCAAGGGGUUGUGCCACCCUCGAGUCAAAGUGGGCAACGAGUAUGUCACCAAAGGGCAGAAUGUCCAGCAGGUGGCAUAUGCCAUCGGGGCACUGGCCAAGUCAGUGUACGAGAAGAUGUUCAACUGGAUGGUGACACGCAUCAACGCAACCCUGGAGACCAAGCAGCCACGCCAGUACUUCAUAGGUGUCCUGGACAUCGCCGGCUUUGAGAUCUUUGAUUUCAACAGCUUUGAGCAGCUGUGCAUCAACUUCACCAAUGAGAAGCUGCAGCAGUUCUUCAACCACCACAUGUUCGUGCUGGAGCAGGAGGAGUACAAGAAGGAAGGCAUCGAGUGGACGUUUAUUGACUUCGGCAUGGACCUGCAGGCCUGCAUCGACCUCAUCGAGAAGCCCAUGGGCAUCAUGUCCAUCCUGGAGGAGGAGUGCAUGUUCCCCAAGGCCACGGACAUGACCUUCAAGGCCAAGCUGUACGACAACCACCUGGGCAAGUCCAACAACUUCCAGAAGCCUCGCAAUAUCAAGGGAAAGCAGGAAGCCCACUUCUCUCUGAUCCACUAUGCUGGCACCGUGGACUACAAUAUCCUGGGCUGGCUACAGAAGAACAAGGACCCUCUCAAUGAGACGGUGGUGGGGCUGUACCAGAAGUCCUCCCUCAAGCUCCUAAGUAAUCUGUUUGCCAACUAUGCUGGAGCUGAUGCACCUGUAGACAAGGGCAAAGGCAAAGCAAAGAAAGGCUCAUCCUUUCAGACCGUGUCCGCACUGCACAGGGAAAAUCUGAACAAACUUAUGACAAACCUGCGCUCCACGCACCCUCACUUUGUACGCUGCAUCAUCCCCAAUGAGACGAAGUCUCCAGGGGUGAUGGACAACCCCCUGGUCAUGCACCAGCUGCGAUGCAACGGAGUGCUGGAGGGUAUCCGCAUCUGUAGGAAGGGCUUCCCCAACCGCAUUCUUUAUGGGGACUUCCGGCAGAGGUAUCGAAUCCUGAACCCAGCAGCCAUCCCUGAGGGCCAAUUCAUUGAUAGCCGGAAAGGGGCUGAGAAGCUGCUGGGCUCCCUGGACAUUGACCACAACCAGUACAAGUUUGGCCACACCAAGGUGUUCUUCAAGGCGGGGCUGCUGGGGCUGCUGGAGGAGAUGCGAGAUGAGAGGCUGAGCCGCAUCAUCACCAGAAUCCAGGCCCAGUCCCGAGGUGUACUUUCCAGAAUGGAGUUUAAGAAGCUGCUGGAGCGCAGAGACUCCCUGCUGAUUAUCCAGUGGAACAUCCGCGCCUUCAUGGGGGUCAAGAAUUGGCCGUGGAUGAAGCUCUACUUCAAGAUCAAGCCGCUGCUGAAGAGCGCAGAGACAGAGAAGGAGAUGGCCAACAUGAAGGAGGAGUUCGGGCGAGUCAAAGAUGCACUAGAGAAGUCUGAGGCUCGCCGCAAGGAGCUGGAGGAGAAGAUGGUGUCCCUGCUGCAGGAGAAGAAUGACCUGCAGCUCCAAGUGCAGGCGGAACAAGACAACCUGGCAGAUGCCGAGGAGCGCUGCGACCAGCUGAUCAAGAACAAGAUCCAGCUGGAGGCCAAGGUGAAGGAGAUGACCGAGAGGCUGGAGGACGAGGAGGAGAUGAACGCCGAGCUCACGGCCAAGAAGCGCAAACUGGAAGACGAGUGCUCAGAGCUCAAGAGAGAUAUCGAUGACCUGGAGCUGACCCUGGCCAAGGUGGAGAAGGAAAAGCACGCAACAGAGAACAAGGUGAAAAACCUGACAGAGGAGAUGGCUGGGCUGGACGAGAUCAUUGUCAAGCUGACCAAGGAGAAGAAAGCUCUACAAGAGGCCCACCAGCAAGCCCUAGAUGACCUUCAGGCUGAGGAGGACAAGGUCAACACUCUGACCAAGGCCAAGGUCAAGCUGGAGCAGCAAGUGGAUGAUCUGGAGGGAUCCCUGGAGCAGGAGAAGAAGGUGCGCAUGGACCUGGAGCGAGCAAAGCGGAAGCUGGAGGGUGACCUGAAGCUGACCCAGGAGAGCAUCAUGGACCUGGAGAACGACAAGCAGCAGUUGGAUGAGCGACUCAAAAAGAAGGACUUUGAGUUAAAUGCACUCAACGCCAGGAUUGAGGAUGAGCAGGCCCUGGGCAGCCAGCUGCAGAAGAAGCUCAAAGAGCUUCAGGCACGCAUCGAGGAGCUGGAGGAGGAGCUGGAGGCUGAGCGCACAGCCCGGGCCAAGGUGGAGAAGCUGCGCUCAGACCUGUCCCGGGAGCUGGAGGAGAUCAGUGAGAGGCUAGAGGAAGCCGGUGGGGCCACAUCUGUGCAGAUAGAGAUGAACAAGAAGCGCGAGGCCGAGUUCCAGAAGAUGCGGCGGGACCUAGAGGAGGCCACGCUGCAGCAUGAGGCCACAGCUGCGGCCCUGCGCAAGAAACACGCGGACAGCGUGGCCGAGCUGGGCGAGCAGAUAGACAAUCUACAGCGGGUGAAGCAGAAGCUGGAGAAAGAGAAGAGCGAGUUCAAGCUGGAGCUGGAUGACGUUACCUCCAACAUGGAGCAGAUCAUCAAGGCCAAGGCUAACCUGGAGAAGAUGUGCCGGACCCUGGAGGACCAGAUGAAUGAACACCGGAGCAAGGCUGAGGAGACACAGCGUUCUGUCAAUGACCUCACCAGCCAGCGGGCCAAGCUGCAGACAGAGAAUGGGGAGCUGUCCAGACAGCUGGAUGAGAAGGAGGCUCUUAUCUCUCAGCUGACCCGAGGCAAGCUCACGUAUACCCAGCAGCUGGAGGACCUCAAGAGGCAGCUGGAGGAGGAGGUCAAGGCCAAGAAUGCCCUGGCCCACGCACUGCAGUCAGCCCGGCAUGAUUGCGACCUGCUGCGGGAACAGUAUGAGGAGGAAACAGAAGCCAAGGCUGAGCUGCAGCGUGUCCUGUCCAAGGCCAACUCAGAGGUGGCCCAGUGGAGGACCAAGUAUGAGACGGACGCCAUACAGAGGACGGAGGAGCUGGAGGAAGCCAAGAAGAAGCUGGCUCAGAGGCUUCAGGAUGCUGAGGAGGCAGUGGAGGCCGUCAACGCCAAGUGCUCCUCGCUGGAGAAGACCAAGCACAGGCUGCAGAACGAGAUCGAGGACCUGAUGGUGGAUGUGGAGCGCUCCAAUGCGGCCGCCGCAGCCCUGGACAAGAAGCAGAGGAACUUCGACAAGAUCCUGGCUGAGUGGAAGCAGAAGUAUGAGGAGUCCCAGUCAGAGCUGGAGUCUUCCCAGAAGGAGGCGCGCUCCCUGAGCACAGAGCUCUUCAAGCUCAAGAAUGCCUAUGAGGAGUCUCUGGAGCACCUGGAGACCUUCAAGCGGGAGAACAAGAACCUCCAGGAGGAGAUCUCAGACCUGACUGAACAGCUGGGCUCAACUGGGAAGAGCAUCCACGAGCUGGAGAAGAUCCGAAAGCAACUGGAGGCUGAGAAGCUGGAGCUGCAGUCAGCCCUGGAAGAGGCUGAGGCCUCCCUGGAGCAUGAGGAGGGCAAGAUCCUCCGAGCCCAGCUGGAGUUCAACCAGAUCAAGGCAGAGAUCGAAAGGAAGCUGGCAGAGAAGGACGAGGAGAUGGAGCAGGCCAAGCGCAACCACCUGCGGGUGGUGGACUCCCUGCAGACCUCCCUGGAUGCCGAGACGCGCAGCCGCAACGAGGCCCUGCGGGUGAAGAAGAAGAUGGAGGGCGACCUCAACGAGAUGGAGAUCCAGCUCAGUCAUGCCAACCGCAUGGCUGCUGAGGCCCAGAAACAAGUGAAGAGCCUCCAGAGUUUGCUGAAGGACACUCAAAUCCAGCUGGAUGACGCAGUCCGUGCCAAUGACGACCUGAAGGAGAACAUCGCCAUCGUGGAGCGGCGCAACAACCUGCUGCAGGCGGAGCUGGAGGAGCUGCGGGCCGUGGUGGAGCAGACGGAGCGGUCUCGGAAGCUGGCAGAGCAGGAGCUGAUCGAGACCAGCGAGCGGGUGCAGCUGCUGCACUCCCAGAACACCAGCCUCAUCAACCAGAAGAAGAAGAUGGACGCAGACCUCUCCCAGCUCCAGACAGAGGUGGAGGAGGCGGUGCAGGAGUGUAGGAACGCAGAGGAGAAGGCCAAGAAGGCCAUCACAGAUGCCGCCAUGAUGGCCGAGGAGCUGAAGAAGGAGCAGGACACCAGCGCCCACCUGGAGCGCAUGAAGAAGAACAUGGAGCAGACCAUCAAGGACCUGCAGCACCGGCUGGACGAGGCAGAGCAGAUCGCCCUCAAGGGUGGCAAGAAGCAGCUGCAGAAGCUGGAGGCCCGGGUCCGGGAGCUGGAGAAUGAGCUGGAGGCUGAGCAGAAGCGCAAUGCGGAGUCGGUGAAGGGCAUGAGGAAGAGCGAGCGGCGCAUCAAGGAGCUCACCUACCAGACAGAGGAAGACAGGAAGAACCUACUGCGACUGCAGGACCUGGUGGACAAGCUGCAGUUAAAGGUGAAGGCCUACAAGCGCCAGGCUGAGGAGGCGGAGGAACAGGCCAACACCAACCUGUCCAAGUUCCGCAAGGUGCAGCACGAGCUGGAUGAGGCAGAGGAGAGGGCGGACAUUGCCGAGUCCCAGGUCAACAAGCUGCGGGCCAAGAGCCGUGACAUUGGCGCCAAGGGCCUGAAUGAAGAGUAGAUCUUGUGCUACCCAACCCUAAGGAUGCCUGUGAAGCCCUGAGACCUGGAGCCUUUGAAACAGCACCUUAGGCAGAAACACAAUAAAGCAAUUUUCCUUCAAGCCAAAAUCC